UGUGUGUGUGUACUGUGUUCAACACCAAGGACAGGUCUGGUUGUGUAUGUAUGGUGUUCAGCACCAAGGACAGGUCUGUGUGUCGAUGUGUGGACUGUGUUCAGCAAUGAGGAAUGAUCUGUUUUCCCAUAUGGCAAUGUUAUUCAGUACCAAGGACAGAUAUGUUUGGCCCUGUGUGGAUAAGGCACCUGCAUUUCCAUCAUUACACCCAGAAAUCCUUUUAAUCUGAAAAAAUAUAUUGCUGUCCUAGGCAAGUUGAAAACCAGGGCCUCACUUGGGCAGGCUGCCAAAAUUUUUCAAUCAGAAAAUUUAACAACAAUCUGAACUUUGUUGUUUUCCACUGCUAGUUACACUGGGCAAAGGAAAUUGUCUGGUUUGCAUUAUAGCCUCAAUAGUGAUUCAGAAAAAAUUGAUUUGUAUCCUGAUUAGCUAUAUAUAACGUGAGAUUCAGUUUACUGGAAAGCUAGAAUUUAACUGACUGUGUCCUCAAAGAUUCUAUUAUACAUUGGUCGAACUUUCCCCACCUCUGUCCAACAUUGGAUUGAACAGUGGACAGCAGCCUAAUUUUCUGUCCUAACAACAUUUCCAUAACCUACAUUUCCAGUAGUAUACAAUUAUGGUAAGAACAACAGCCAAAGUCAAAACUUUCAACCUUCUAGUCCAAACGAAGGGUUGUUAACAAUUGGAGCCUACGUUGUACAGUAAAUCCUAGCUUGUAACUGCUGUGGAGUACAUAAGUAGGCAGGUGUAGCAGUUUCCUACAUCCUGUUCUUAUCAUCUCUUCUAUGCAUUUUCAACAUGUUGAAAUGAUGUGGUUGGUUGGAAAGACGUCAUCACACAUCACAAUAGCCUUAUCUUUAAUCUCAUUUCCAUUCAAUACAUCCAGGAAAACAUUACAGCAGCUUGAUUGAGUGGUCACAAAUGGACCAUGUAGCUCCAGCAGUACUGAUGAAAAACAGAAAAAUGGCUCCUUGAUUUCAGGAGCCACCCAUCCCGCUAGUCUUUAGUGAGUGGGAUGUGGUAGAUGGCUACAUGUCAGCUUUCACUUUUAAUUGAUGAUGAAAUAUUUUAGCAUCCUUGUCAUACCUUUUUAUAUUGUUGCACUACAUCUUUUCUAUUUGAACACAUUGAUUAAUUAAUUUUUAGAGUCCCUUGGUCUUGCACAGGUAGACUGACAAUUGGGGCUGGCAAUGUAUUGCAGCAUUGCACCUCACCAUGCUGUCAAAAGACUACUCUAUAUACAGUUUAAACCUAACCAAUGGCUGUCCUCUCAUGUAUGAUAAUGACUACAUGGAGUAUGUAGAUGUAGUCUUGAAUAACUUUUUAAACAGCUCUGUAUUUGUAUUUAUGUUAGAACAAUCAUAUAUUUUGCUGACAAAAGCAUGCAAUGUUUGGUUCUUACCUGGAAACUACAAUUAGGUACAAAGUACAAAAUCACCCGGAUCAUGCAGUCUGUAGGAAUUCCAACUAGCCCACAACUUCCCCAGAUGAAAGAUUGAUUUUAUGUCUCUGUGACCGCACAAGGUCAUAUUUGGCACUGAUGAGAUGACAAAGUAUAUCCAAUUUUUGUUCACUAGCUAUGACCUACCAAUACUUGAACUGGCAAAGAUCCAUCUGGUCCAAGAAAUAGUUGAGACCCCAAAUCUAGGACGACUGAUUCUGCUGUAUCUUGUACAUCAAAAUGAUAAUGAUCCACCAUUGUACCCUUACACCUUAUGGUGGUGCAAGAAGAUAAUGAUUGUGAUACACUGUGUAUCGUACAUAUUAUGUACUGUCCAAAGCAAGCACUAAUGAAUAUUGUCACAGUUGUCUUGAUAUAGCACUUCAAACAGAAAGUUACACUUACAAAUGUCGUGUACAAAACUGGUGUGAUACAUGUGUAAAGGCAGUUUACCAGUUAUGAGAAACAAGCAAAAACAAAAACAUAGCAUGAAUCACAAAAUGAAUUUUUUGCUUAUCAGGCUGACUUUCAUAAGGCAUUGAUGGCAUGGUAUUAUUUUGACAUUCUGUUAGUCACCAUACAUGGUGGAGAGCUGUUUGUAACUGUAGCUGUAACCAAGAAGGUUGUGACGAGAGCGCCUCACUUUGAUGACCACCAGAACUGCAGUGAGGGCCACUACUAGUACUGCCACAACAGAAACAGUGAUGGUUGCCACAGGAAGAGUGCUUCCACCAGAGAUGUCAACUUGGUGCUCUGUUUGAAAAUGAGGUGCUGUCAUCAAGAACAAUGGGGCCCUGGUAGAUGGAGUGCAGCCCUGUCAUGUCCGACUUGUGUGACAGCUCCCUCCUGCGGCGUCCAGGGGCGCUACGACAACCCUGCCAGGAUAACAUUAUUUAUUUAUAGUAUGUCAUGGAACUCUAACAUUUCAAUGUUACCGAACUCUUACAUUUCAGAUUUACAAUCAUCGUGGUGUUUCCAUCAUAAUGGUUGCUCUAAUCAUGAUAAAUGUCAUCAUCAUGAAUAAUCAAGUGAUUGAACAUUCCACUGGAAUUAGUAAGUACAAAAACGCAUCUGGCUUAGAUCAUGUGACAGAAAAAUAUAACUUCAAAAGGUUGUUCAUACAUAUAAAAAUGUGUUAAGCUCUAUAAUUUUACCUGUUUUGUGGCUGUUAUUGGCAAACAAUUUAUGUGAUCUGCACCC